rnacentral:rRNA from 1 species
UACGAAGGGUGCAAGCGUUAAUCGGAAUUACUGGGCGUAAAGCGCACGUAGGCGGUUUUUUAAGUCAGAUGUGAAAGCCCCGGGCUCAACCUGGGAACUGCAUUUGUGACUGCAAGGCUAGAGUACGGCAGAGGGGGAUGGAAUUCCGCGUGUAGCAGUGAAAUGCGUAGAUAUGCGGAGGAACACCAAUGGCGAAGGCAAUCCCCUGGGCCUGUACUGACGCUCAUGCACGAAAGCGUGGGGAGCAAACAGG